rnacentral:rRNA from 1 species
AUUGAACGCUGGCGGCAGGCUUAACACAUGCAAGUCGAGCGGGGUGAUGGUGCUUGCACUAUCACUUAGCGGCGGACGGGUGAGUAAUGCUUAGGAAUCUGCCUAUUAGUGGGGGACAACAGCUCGAAAGGGAUGCUAAUACCGCAUACGUCCUACGGGAGACAGCGGGGGAUCACCUGUGACCUUGCGCUAAUAGAUGGACCACAGGCGGAUUAGCUAGUUGGUGGGGUAAAGGCUUACCAAGCCGACGAUCUGUAGCGGGUCUGAGAGGAUGAUACGCCACACGGGGACUGAGACACGGCCCAGACUCCUACGGGAGGCAGCAGUGGGGAAUAUUGGACAAUGGGGGGAACCCUGAUCCAGCCAUGCCGCGUGUGUGAAGAAGGCCUUAUGGUUAUAAAGCACUUUAAGCGAGGAGGAGGCUCUUUUGGUUAAUACCCAAGAUGAGUGGACGUUACUCGCAGAAUAAGCACCGGCUAACUCUGUGCCAGCCGCCGCCGUAA